GAUAGGGAGCUGUCGCUUCUGUGAUUGGACACUGACGCUCGGUCAACUAGCCUUGUCCAGACGGUUCGUCGUGCGAGGAACCGGGGUGGUCCGAGCCACGAGGGGGGAGGCUCGGACCAUCCGUC
rnacentral:ncRNA from 1 species